rnacentral:rRNA from 1 species
CAGUAGCCGCGGGAAUACGAAGGGGGCUAGCGUUGCUCGGAAUGACUGGGCGUAAAGGGCGCGUAGGCGGCGAUCAAAGUCAGGCGUGAAAUUCCUGGGCUCAACCUGGGGGCUGCGCUUGAUACUUGGUUGCUUGAGUGGGGAAGAGGGUCGUGGAAUUCCCAGUGUAGAGGUGAAAUUCGUAGAUAUUGGGAAGAACACCGGUGGCGAAGGCGGCGACCUGGUCCUCGACUGACGCUGAGGCGCGAAAGCGUGGGGAGCGAACAGGAUUAGAUACCCCUGUAGUCCCUGUCUCUUAUAC